rnacentral:rRNA from 1 species
UCUUUCCUCCCGAGUGCUUGCACUCAAAUUGGAAAGAGGAGUGGCGGACGGGUGAGUAACACGUGGGUAACCUACCCAUCAGAGGGGGAUAACACUUGGAAACAGGUGCUAAUACCGCAUAACAGUUUAUGCCGCAUGGCAUAAGAGUGAAAGGCGCUUUCGGGUGUCGCUGAUGGAUGGACCCGCGGUGCAUUAGCUAGUUGGUGAGGUAACGGCUCACCAAGGCCACGAUGCAUAGCCGACCUGAGAGGGUGAUCGGCCACACUGGGACUGAGACACGGCCCAGACUCCUACGGGAGGCAGCAGUAGGGAAUCUUCGGCAAUGGACGAAAGUCUGACCGAGCAACGCCGCGUGAGUGAAGAAGGUUUUCGGAUCGUAAAACUCUGUUGUUAGAGAAGAACAAGGACGUUAGUAACUGAACGUCCCCUGACGGUAUCUAACCAGAAAGCCACGGCUAACUACGUGCCAGCAGCCGCGGUAAUACGUAGGUGGCAAGCGUUGUCCGGAUUUAUUGGGCGUAAAGCGAGCGCAGGCGGUUUCUUAAGUCUGAUGUGAAAGCCCCCGGCUCAACCGGGGAGGGUCAUUGGAAACUGGGAGACUUGAGUGCAGAAGAGGAGAGUGGAAUUCCAUGUGUAGCGGUGAAAUGCGUAGAUAUAUGGAGGAACACCAGUGGCGAAGGCGGCUCUCUGGUCUGUAACUGACGCUGAGGCUCGAAAGCGUGGGGGAGCAAACAGGAUUAGAUACCCUGGUAGUCCACGCCGUAACGAUGAGUG